AUGGUCUUAUUGGUUUUGGGGUAUAGGGGAAGAAGACCUUCAACAUGCAUGUCUGAGAGGUAUACAUGUAUACGUGGGAUGUGUGUGUGUGCGCACGCGCAUGAUCGAGAUAAAAGAAACAAGACAUAA
rnacentral:rRNA from 1 species